CCUACGGGCGGCUGCAGUGGGGAAUAUUGGACAAUGGGGGCAACCCUGAUCCAGCCAUGCCGCGUGUGUGAAGAAGGCCCUCGGGUUGUAAAGCACUUUCAGUGAGGAAGAACGCCUGGUGGUGAAUACCCAUCAGGAAAGACAUCACUCACAGAAGAAGCACCGGCUAACUCCGUGCCAGCAGCCGCGGUAAUACGGAGGGUGCGAGCGUUAAUCGGAAUUACUGGGCGUAAAGCGCGCGUAGGUGGCUUGAUAAGCCGGUUGUGAAAGCCCCGGGCUCAACCUGGGAACGGCAUCCGGAACUGUCAAGCUAGAGUGCAGGAGAGGAAGGUAGAAUUCCCGGUGUAGCGGUGAAAUGCGUAGAGAUCGGGAGGAAUACCAGUGGCGAAGGCGGCCUUCUGGACUGACACUGACACUGAGGUGCGAAAGCGUGGGUAGCAAACAGGAUUAGAUACCCGAGUAGUC
rnacentral:rRNA from 1 species